rnacentral:lncRNA from 1 species
GGGAAAGUCAGUUAGAAGGCUACCACUAUAAUCUAAUGAGAGGUGAGAAAAAAAAUCAUGUCCAAGUCAAGGCUGGAAACUCAAUCUACUAACUUCCAGUUCAUUGUUCUUUCCAAUAUAACAUACUGCCUCCUUUACAGGGGAGUUCAUCUGGAGUUUUGUUUAAUGCCAAAAUACGAUGAAUGUUGGCUGUGGACAUCUUGUGAUUUUUCUCACAUGGAGGAAGACCUUCGGGAGCAAGGUUCAUCAUGGAAAAAAGUUAAAAGGUCAAAUGAGAAGACAAGAAAUUCAAGAUUUAGACAGGUGACUUUAUUGCUGAGCAUUAUGCUGCUUCUAGAAGUGGUGAGAAAUUGUCACUCUAUGGAUGCAUUUCCUAUGGGCUCACUCUGAUGUUGGAAACCCCAGAAUAUACUGUAAGUUAUGCCAUUAUUAAACACAGAAUCAAUUGUCUACAGAGGGAAAUUGAGAUUGGAG